GUUUAUUUUUUUUCUUCACAUUCCUUGGUCUAAUAGUUGUUAGCUAAUACUAGCUACCUAGCAAAAAUGCCAGGGCGUUGUUCAGCUUUCAACUGUAGGAAUACGUUUAAAAAUGUUAAACAUAAAACAAACAAGGUUACAUUUCACAGCUUCCCAAAGCGUGAUCCUAAACGAAUAAAAGAGUGGGUGGGUCAGAUGAAAUGGAAAGACUGGCAGCCAACCCCUCAUUCCUUACUGUGCUCAGAGCAUUUUGAGGAGAGGUGCAUGGAUAGAACUGGGCAGACAGUGCGUUUACGUGAUGAUGCAAUACCAACUAUCUUUGCCUUUCCUAGUCACCUACAAAAAAAGUUUCAGAAAACAGCCGGAAGGAGGAAAAGAGUAACCUUGUUUCCAGAGGAUCCUGUUCCUGAGGAGUCGACACAAUGGGAGAAGUCUCCACCCACUUACUUAAACCACAGUAUAUGGCACCCAAGUCGUUUCCAUGACGACUACUGCGUUCCACAGAGUAUUGACUGGGCUGUAAAAGACAUGCCUAAAGAAAUCCCAUCUGCAACUUUAGAAAAGCAAGGUCUUAUCUUUAUCCCCAAGCACGCAAUCAAGAUCAAGGAGAAAUGGCAAUGGCUGACAAUGGAUGUGAAGGGACCAUUUCCAGAGACCAAAAGUAGACACAAAUUUGUACUAACUGUAAUGGACUACUACUCCAAAUGGAUGGAAGCCUACCCCAUGAAGACCAACAACAGUAAAGAGAUUGCCAAAAUCAUCUCUGACCUCAUCUCUCGCUUUGGCUUCCCUGUUGGAAUCCUGUCUUGUUUGACUCGAGCACACAUUUUAGAGAUCAACUCGGCUUUGGGUGAUCUGAAGAAACUGACAUGCCAACUCAUAUUCUACCGUCCUCUGGGAGUGUCAUUGGAUCCAGUAACAAAGUCCCUCAUAGACCGGUUGGUGUCAGAUUUGGUGAAAGACCAUCCUGACCGUUGGGAUGUUUACCUGGCUGCCAGUGUGUUCAGCUUCUGCUGCAAGGAGCACCCCACCACUAGACAAAUACCCCUGUCUCUGCUGCGCUGCGGAGGGACUCAGUCUAUCCCCACCUCACCAAGAAAGCUGCCUGACAAUGGGAUAAAAGGAAGGACCUUUGUCAUACUAGAUGCCCAGCCACCUCAAAGGGAAGUCCGUGUGGAGUGCAAUCAGUGCAGUCAAUGGAGCACGGUCAGCCAGGACUCAGAGCUGAAGAGAUAUGAGGAGAUGAAACUUGGGGAUGAGGACUACACCCACACCUGUGUGAGCUGCAGGGUGGCCAUGAGCUGCAGGGUGGCCCUGGAGGUCAUGAGAGGUUAGCAGACAAGGACAUGAAGAACUGGAUGUAAAUGAGAAAGCUUUUCAAACAAGGACUGAAAAGAUGGAGGAUAUAAUAAGGACGUUGGAAACCAAGUGGUGAUGAAGGAAGAUGUUGAUAUAGGAGUGAAGAAAGGUUCCUAGGGGAAGAAGUACAUGUUGUGUAUGUAUUUGUAUAAGUUGCUCUGAUGACCCUUUUGUCAUUAAAAACAACGGUAUAAAGUGUUUAAAUUACAUUUUGAUUGUGUUUCUUAAUUAAAUAAAAACUAAAAUGUUA